UCUCCGUUGGUGAACCAGCGGAGGGAUCAUUACCGAGUUUACAACUCCCAAACCCCUGUGAACAUACCUGUUUUGUUGCUUCGGCGGUGCCCUCGCUCUCGCGGCGAGGCCCGCCAGAGGACCCAAACAAACUCUUUGACUUUGAUCUAGGAUUAUACUUCUGAGUGAUACAAAAAUAAAAUCAAAACUUUCAACAACGGAUCUCUUGGUUCUGGCAUCGAUGAAGAACACAGC
rnacentral:misc_RNA from 1 species